rnacentral:rRNA from 1 species
UACAGAGGUGGCAAGCGUUGUUCGGAAUUACUGGGCGUAAAGGGCGAGUAGGCGGCCUUCUAAGUCAGACGUGAAAUCCCCCGGCUUAACCUGGGAACUGCGUCUGAUACUGGGAGGCUUGAGUGUGUCAGAGGGAGGUGGAAUUCCGCGUGUAGCAGUGAAAUGCGUAGAUAUGCGGAGGAACACCGAUGGCGAAGGCAGCCUCCUGGGAUAACACUGACGCUCAUGCACGAAAGCGUGGGGAGCAAACAGG